rnacentral:rRNA from 1 species
UACGAAGGGGGCUAGCGUUGCUCGGAAUCACUGGGCGUAAAGCGCACGUAGGCGGAUUGUUAAGUCGGGGGUGAAAUCCUGGAGCUCAACUCCAGAACUGCCUUCGAUACUGGCGAUCUUGAGUCCGGGAGAGGUGAGUGGAAUUCCUGGUGUAGCGGUGAAAUGCGCAGAUAUCAGGAAGAACACCCGUGGCGAAGGCGGCUCUCUGGUACGUGACUGACGCUGAGACGCGAAAGCGUGGGGAGCGAACAGG